GCGGGGGUAGCCGAGCCUGGCCAAAGGCGCGGGACUUAAGAUCCCGUCUCUCAGGAGUUCGUGGGUUCGAAUCCUCGACUUGUCUCUCAGAGACUUGGGCGAAUUUCCCACCCCCCGCACCA
rnacentral:tRNA from 1 species